ACCAGACUCCUACGGGAGGCAGCAGUGAGGAAUAUUGGUCAAUGGGCGCGAGCCUGAACCAGCCAAGUCGCGUGAGGGAAGACGGUCCUAUGGAUUGUAAACCUCUUUUGUCGGGGAGCAAAGCGAACCACGUGUGGUUCAUUGAGAGUACCCGAAGAAAAAGCAUCGGCUAACUCCGUGCCGGCAGCCGCGGUAAUACGGAGGAUGCGAGCGUUAUCCGGAUUUAUUGGGUUUAAAGGGAGCGUAGGCCGGUCUUUAAGCGUGCCGUGAAAUUUUGUGGCUCAACCAUGAGAGUGCGGCGCGAACUGGAGACCUUGAGUGCGCGGAAGGCAGGCGGAAUUCGUGGUGUAGCGGUGAAAUGCUUAGAUAUCACGAAGAACCCCGAUUGCGAAGGCAGCUUACUAAACUGUGACUGACAUUGAUGCUCGAAAGUGUGGGUAUCAAACAGGAUUAGAUACCCGCGUAAA
rnacentral:rRNA from 1 species